ensembl:lncRNA
AUGCUCAUGUCAUCCUGUCUGAAUAGAACAGAAAGAUCACAUGUGGAAGUGCAGCAGCUGUAUUUUGAUCAUUCUGAGAGAUUUGAUACAUGUCCGCAGGUUCUGUGUCAAGAGAGUCAGUGUUACUGGAAGGUUGAAUGGAGCAGCUGGGAUCAUGUAGCAGUGAAAUAUAUAGGAAUCAGCAGAAAAGAUUUACUAGAGUGCCAUUGGAGAGAGGAGAGAGAUCUCCUUUCCCUUUGUGAUUCCAGAAGAUCUAGCCCAAUGUGUGUCAUCCCAGCUGACAUUAUUCUAACAGUUCUAUCUGGUUCUGAUUGACAAACACAGCAGUUGAAUAUCUGCAGAAGAUCACAUCACAUGAUGGCAGAAACCAACACUGACAGAAAGACAGUCCUUAGUCUUCUGGACAAGGUUCAAGGGAAGACAAGAUUAUGUUUGCUGGAAACAAGCAUCUAAGGACAUGAAGAACAUGGUGUGGGUACCCCUUACAAUGGUUCCCCUUUGCCCAUCUGCAAGAAUGAGGAGAAGGUCAGAGUGCCAGCCAGCUUCCAGUGAAUGCAAAAACAGAGCCCACUGCAAACAGAGAGAUAUGAGCCUGCCAAGAUAAAUGAGCCAGAGAAGAGGAAUGAGCCAACCAUCGCCCUGGAGCCAGAGCCUCCCAGAGAUUCUGACCAGGUGUGUGAGCUGGCAAAAUUGUGUUCCACUGGGUGUGCUUGUGGCUACACCUCAGUCCUCCAUGCCCUGGACUCCACCUUGGCCUUCUGACCCUUCAGCUCCUCCUUGGCUCCUCAGCUACACCGGGGUCUGUUAGUCUUCAGACUCCACUGGGCUCCAUCAUUCCUGCAGUUCCAAUUUGGUCAGUCAAUGCCCUGCUCCCACCUUGAUCUUCCAGUCCUCUGGCUGUGCCUCAUCCCUCCAUCUCUCUCUGGCUCUACAGUGGUCCUCUGUCCCACCAGCUUUGCCCCGGCUUGCCAAGCCACUGUCUCCAUCUCAGUCUUGCGAGCCUGCGGCUCCACUUGGAAGGCCUGUAUUUUCCUCAGAUCUUUGUCUGUCUUUGUCUUGUAUUCGUUAGACCAGUAUCCUGAGUAUUUUGUUAUUUUGGUUUUUUUUUUUAAGUAUUGCUGCACUUAGAUCCUGACUUUUAUCUUUAUUACCAGCAACCAAUCCUAAAGGCGAGUCAAAGGUUGUAAAAACACCUUUCAUUUGGUGUGACCUUAUCAAAGCUAUUGCAGAUGUCUUCAUCGAUUCAGAAGAGCUCAGUUUUAUCCUGCCGUUUUUUUCAGGAACUGUUAGAUUACUGUUUGCUGUUUAAUAAAUUUAGAGAUAUUGUAUUACCUCUGGUUGAU